rnacentral:rRNA from 1 species
CACGUAGGGUGCGAGCGUUGUCCGGAAUUAUUGGGCGUAAAGAGCUCGUAGGCGGCUUGUCACGUCGGGUGUGAAAGCCCGGGGCUUAACCCCGGGUCUGCAUUCGAUACGGGCUAGCUAGAGUGUGGUAGGGGAGAUCGGAAUUCCUGGUGUAGCGGUGAAAUGCGCAGAUAUCAGGAGGAACACCGGUGGCGAAGGCGGAUCUCUGGGCCGAUACUGACGCUGAGGAGCGAAAGCGUGGGGAGCGAACAGG